rnacentral:rRNA from 1 species
UCUCAGUUCGGAUUGGAGUCUGCAACCCGACUCCAUGAAGCUGGAUUCGCUAGUAAUCGCGCAUCAGCCACGGCGCGGUGAAUACGUUCCCGGGCCUUGUACACACCGCCCGUCAAGCCAUGGAAGCCGGGGGUGCCUGAAGUGCGCUGCCGCAAGGAGCGCCCUAGGGUAAAACCGGUGACUGGGGCUAAGUCGUAACAAGGUAUC